UACGGAGGGGACUAGCGUUGUUCGGAAUUACUGGGCGUAAAAGCGCACGUAGGCGGAUUUGUAAGUCAGGGGUGAAAUCCCGAGGCUCAACCUCGGAACUGGCCUUUGAUACUGCAAAUCUCGAGUCCGGAAGAGGUGAGUGGAAUUCCUAGUGUAGAGGUGAAAUUCGUAGAUAUUAGGAAGAACACCAGUGGCGAAGGCGGCUCACGUGGUCCGGGUACUGGACGCUGAGGUGCGAAAAGCGUGGGGAGCAAACAGGG
rnacentral:rRNA from 1 species